UAGUUUUGGAGGUCACCACGGGUCUCACUGUUGUUGUUGUCGUUGUUGUUGUUUGUUUUGGAGUUGUUGUCAGAUCUGUUGGAGAGGAAUACCAAAACUUAAAGAAGUUCACGCUGCAGCUUUCAAAUUUUGAAAAAAAAUCUUUAUCUUCCGUGUGAAAAACUAACUUUAAUCACAAUAUUGCAAAAUUUGAAAUGCUUCACAGUGUAAAGGUCAAUGCAAUGAUACACGUCUAUUGUUAUAUCAAAAGAUCAAUAACUCUAUCUUAUUUUUUGCGUUUGUUUUAUGUCUGAAAUCCCAUUAAUGCACACAAGGAGUUGAAUCUGCCAGUAAAACAAUGUGUUUCCUACAGUAAGAUCCCAAUGCACCGAAUCUAUACAGUAUACCUCCAAUAACCGCGGACUGUCCCAACAGUUCACUCGGCGUCCCUCCUUUCUGGGCGUGCAGCCAGUAGUAUACUGUGUCCCCUUUGUGGACCUGAAUGGCUGGCAAAUCAUUGGUGUGGACGAACGAAGAUCCUCAAAAAGAAAUUCAUUUAUAAACAGAGGGAAGUACACUGUGUUUUAUUUUUACUGUACUUACUAUUUUUAUAGCUUAUACACCUUGUUCGAAAUUCAUUUGAUAGUCUAUGAAAUAAACACUUUUAUGAACUUGG
rnacentral:sRNA from 1 species